rnacentral:rRNA from 1 species
CUAGCCCUAAACGAUGUACAUUGUAUGGUGGGAAUCUUGCAUUUUCACUGUAGCAGCUAAUGCGUUAAAUGUACCGCCUGGGGAGUAUGGUCGCAAGGCUAAAACUCAAAGGAAUUGACGGGGGCUCACACAAGCGGUGGAGCAUGUUGUUUAAUUCGAAGAUACGCGAAGAACCUUACCCAGACUUGACAUGUACGGAUUAGACUACAGAAAUGUAGUUGACACUCAUUCUGAGUGGAACGUACACAGGUGU